GCCAGACUCCUACGGGAGGCAGCAGUGGGGGAUAUUGCACAAUGGGGGAAACCCUGAUGCAGCGACGCCGCGUGAGUGAAGAAGUAUUUCGGUAUGUAAAGCUCUAUCAGCAGGGACGAAAAUGACGGUACCUGACUAAGAAGCCCCGGCUAACUACGUGCCAGCAGCCGCGGUAAUACGUAGGGGGCAAGCGUUAUCCGGAUUUACUGGGUGUAAAGGGAGUGUAGGUGGCAUAACAAGUCAGAAGUGAAAGCCCGGGGCUCAACCGCGGGACUGCUUUUGAAACUGUUAAGCUGGAGUGCAGGAGAGGUAAGCGGAAUUCCUGGUGUAGCGGUGAAAUGCGUAGAUAUCAGGAGGAACACCGGCGGCGAAGGCGGCUUACUGGACUGUAACUGACGUUGAGGCUCGAAGGCGUGGGGAGCAAACAGGAUUAGAUACCCGGGUA
rnacentral:rRNA from 1 species